rnacentral:rRNA from 1 species
AGGGAACCUUCCGCAAUGGGCGAAAGCCUGACGGAGCAAUGCCGCGUGAGUGAUGAAGGUCUUCGGAUCGUAGAACUCUGUUAUUAGGGAAGAACAAAUGUGUAAGUAACUGUGCACGUCUUGACGGUACCUAAUCAGAAAGCCACGGCUAACUACGUGCCAGCAGCCGCGGUAAUACGUAGGUGGCAAGCGUUAUCCGGAAUUAUUGGGCGUAAAGCGCGCGUAAGCGGUUUCUUAAGUCUGAUGUGAAAGCCCACGGCUCAACCGUGGAGGGUCAUUGGAAGCUGGGAAACUUGAGUGCAGAAGAGGAAAGUGGAAUUCCAUGUGUAGCGGUGAAAUGCGCAGAGAUAUGGAGGAACACCAGUGGCGAAGGCGACUUUCUGGUCUGUAACUGACGCUGAUGUGCGAAAGCGUGGGGAUCAAACAGGAUUAGAUACCCUGGUAGUCCACGCCGUAAACGAUGAGUGCUAAGUGUUAGGGGGUUUCCGCCCCUUAGUGCUGCAGCUAACGCAUUAAGCACUCCGCCUGGGGAGUACGACCGCAAGGUUG